rnacentral:rRNA from 1 species
AGUCGAGCGGUAGAGAGAAGCUUGCUUCUCUUGAGAGCGGCGGACGGGUGAGUAAUGCCUAGGAAUCUGCCUGGUAGUGGGGGAUAACGUUCGGAAACGGACGCUAAUACCGCAUACGUCCUACGGGAGAAAGCAGGGGACCUUCGGGCCUUGCGCUAUCAGAUGAGCCUAGGUCGGAUUAGCUGGUUGGUGGGGUAAUGGCUCACCAAGGCGACGAUCCGUAACUGGUCUGAGAGGAUGAUCAGUCACACUGGAACUGAGACACGGUCCAGACUCCUACGGGAGGCAGCAGUGGGGAAUAUUGGACAAUGGGCGAAAGCCUGAUCCAGCCAUGCCGCGUGUGUGAAGAAGGUCUUCGGAUUGUAAAGCACUUUAAGUUGGGAGGAAGGGUUGUAGAUUAAUACUCUGCAAUUUUGACGUUACCGACAGAAUAAGCACCGGCUAACUCUGUGCCAGCAGCCGCGGUAAUACAGAGGGUGCAAGCGUUAAUCGGAAUUACUGGGCGUAAAGCGCGCGUAGGUGGUUAGUUAAGUUGGAUGUGAAAUCCCCGGGCUCAACCUGGGAACUGCAUUCAAAACUGACUGACUAGAGUAUGGUAGAGGGUGGUGGAAUUUCCUGUGUAGCGGUGAAAUGCGUAGAUAUAGGAAGGAACACCAGUGGCGAAGGCGACCACCUGGACUGAUACUGACACUGAGGUGCGAAAGCGUGGGGAGCAAACAGGAUUAGAUACCCUGGUAGUCCACGCCGUAAACGAUGUCAACUAGCCGUUGGGAGCCUUGAGCUCUUAGUGGCGCAGCUAACGCAUUAAGUUGACCGCCUGGGGAGUACGGCCGCAAGGUUAAAACUCAAAUGAAUUG